rnacentral:rRNA from 1 species
UACCAGCACCCCGAGUGGUCGGGACGUUUAUUGGGCCUAAAGCAUCCGUAGCCGGUUUUACAAGUCCUCCGUUAAAUCCAACUGCUUAACAGAUGGGCUGCGGAAGAUACUAUAAGACUAGGAGGCAGGAGAGGCAAGCGGUACUCAGUGGGUAGGGGUAAAAUCCGUUGAUCCAUUGAAGACCACCAGUGGCGAAGGCGGCUUGCCAGAAUGCGCUCGACGGUGAGGGAUGAAAGCUGGGGGAGCAAACCGG